rnacentral:lncRNA from 1 species
GGAAACUCAGACUAAUUACAAGCACGUUAUCUAAAUAUAUGUAUAUCACGAAUUCAAUUGAUCACAAGAAUUUUAAAACAUAUAUGGUAUUAUACAUAUAUCAUAUACAGAAAUCACCAAACCGAAUUUUAAGAGCGAUUUGGAAAGAUCUUACCAAUAAUGUUAACAAACAAUAUUAUUAAUGCAAAGUUCUCAAUCAAGCCAACAGUCAGAGCCUUCAAUCAAACCAGCAGUCUUACUCAAGAGCCGAACAAGUCAGUCAGUGGCAAGUUGCCCAGAUUUUCCACCGUUAUAUCCAAGAUAUCCCAAAAACAAUGCACUAUGUGUUUAGGUCUUUAAAGAUAUGUGUAUACGCGUAACCAGUGUACUCAAAAAAAUAGUAUUUCGUGAAAAACAAAAACCCAGAGACCUUUGGGGCUUUGAUACCAGUUUUUUUUUUGGAAUUUAUGAUUGAUUUGGUUUGUAAACCAAAAAAAAAUGUAUAACACCACAAGCAAAAAUUUUAAAAUGAACAUUAGUAUGCCAAGAAAUUGUUGACCCAGAACAGCCAAUCGGUUUGAUCUGGGGGCUCAAAGACAUCCCGUUCCACUAGUGUAAUAUUCUACCUUUCAAGAGAAAGAUUACAUCAAACCACUCAGAUCAAAUUUUAGUCGCAGGUCUGUUCAAUCUCGUAAAACCAGAGAGUAAAGACAAAGAUUCAACUAAAAUUCCAAGGAGAUAACCUACACAAAAUCAGCAACUAUUUCCAGCUUGAUUGUACAGAAACACAAUACACUCCAUUGGAUCAAUUACAGAGACCUCAAAACACGAAGAAAAAGAUUCACAGAAUCUCUAAAAAAUGAAGGAGCUAAAGAAGGAGAAAAAUAAUGGUCUAG